UUUUCCAAAUUUUCCAAGCCGCAGUGUAUUCAUCUCUGACCUGUCUUUAUUUCGCUCUGCUUUUCUGUGUUAUUGCACGCUUGCUUUUAUUGUUUCCUGUUUAAAUCGAUACAAUUAAGUGUCAAGUCUGCAUAUAGACCGGAUUUUGUCACGAUUAAAGAUGUUUAAAAGAGGUCAUUUCACAGACAGGAAUCUACAGAUAGCAUCUGAGAAACCUGAAAACUUCAAAGACAUUGGUAGUAGAUAUGAGUCCACAGACAAGACAAAAAAUGCAGAAAAUGAGUUUUUACAAACUUUUGAG